UUUUUUGCAUAAAUUUGCUUGCCUCUAAUCUGAUUUCCACACACACACACACACACACACACACACACACACACACACACACACACACACACACACACACACACACACACACACACACACAAUAAACCAACUUAAAACAUUUACAUCUCAUAAACAACUACCUCGCAAUGAACCAGACAGAUAGAACAAUAACAUUAAAAACUAAGAAAACAAGGAACCUCAGCACUGAAUACCCUGAAGAUUACAAUACACGUUGGGGGUUGAAGGAAAAAGAGGAGCUGCCUUGCAAAUCACUCCCAGGACGCGGUGUGUUUCCUCCAAGCUCGUUCAUCAAGAUAAAGGGGAGAGCGCCCGGUGUCUUAAUGAGCCGUGGAUUACUGAGCGCUACACCCCAAACCAAGUGUCACCUAGAUUCUGUUCAGGCGAUUAAUAUUUGUGAUGUUCUUCGGUAGCGGUGUAAUAAAGGAAUGAAGGAAGUGGGAAGGAACUGAAAACGUAUAUAGGGAGGAGGAGGAGGAGGAGGAGGAGGAGGAGGAGGAUGGGGAAGCGCUUUUCCCGUGAAGACAAAACAGAUCCACAGCAUCACAGCCCUACACCCCACAGUCCCACAGCCUUACAACCCCACAGCCUCACAGCCCCACAGCCUCUCAACCUCACAGCUUCCCAGUCCCACAACCUCAUAACCCCCACAGCCUCACAGCCCCACAGCCUCACAGCCCCACAGCCCCACAGCCUCCAUCAGCGGACUGGCAAAUCGUCACGGGGCCAGACAGACAGGAAAUCAAGCGGGAAGGUUUGGAAGUGUCAUCAACUCGCCCCAUCCCAUCCCACCCUCGUCCCGUCCCACCUCCUGGUCUCCCUAUCUCACCAAUUCUCUCUAUCUCACCCAGUCGGCAACCCUUCGCUCUUUCCAUAGGUCACUGGAUGCUCUCCACUUUUGGCAAACGCUUUUCCCACUUUUCCAGGCGGCUCAAAAUUCCUCCCUCACUUGUUUUUUCUUAUUUCCAAACACGCAGCCGGCGAUCCCAGAGCUGUAGGCGCGGGCGGUAGGCGAGUGGCGUGGAAUGGUUAUAUAUCUUUCGUCCCUCUCCUGCGUGUGGCCGACGUCCGAUGCGGUGGACGCGCCGAGAGGAAGGAGGACGCAGCCACUUUUCUCGAUUUCCCAAUGGUACCUCGGCCCCCGUCCUGAUCUGGGCGUGAGGAAGAACCUAGAAGAGAUUUUUGUAUUAGCACCCCCGGAGCCCCGCUGAGUGAUGACUUACACGAGGUUGUAGGGUGAGGGGAAAGCUACGGGCAGCGGCGGUGGCAGGAAAGCGUCGGGCGGUGGAGAUCGACGAGCGUGAUAGAGGUGGAGGUGAAAAUACAAGAGAGUGUUUUGAUUUUGGAUGAGAGAGAGAGAGAGAGAGAGAGAGAGAGAGAGAGAGAGAGAGAGAGAGAGAGAGAGAGAGAGAGAGAGAGAGAGAGAGAGAGAGAGAGAGA